rnacentral:piRNA from 1 species
UGUAAGUCCGAGAUGGUGUUUUAAGCGUU